ACUGGAUGGAAGAUUUAAGAAAUCUUAAAAUUCCAUGUCAGUAGCAAGAAUUAUUGUACUGCUAGGUAUGAGAGGCUGAAAACAUGCUGAACGAGGCGCAGUCGUCGUUCAUCAGUGGGCCCACUUACAAGAUGCGUAUUAUCCUGAUAAACAUCUACGCCGUGGUUAUAAUUCAAAUUUUAUCAUGUACAGCAACGACCAGGUGGGCGAUUAAAAUACUGCACGCAACACCAAAGUGCAAGCAGCUUGGCUUUACCCACAGUUCGGAAUAGCACGGAAUAUUUCUCAAGUAAUAUAACAUGUGAAGUAUAACAGAAUUUUGUCAGAAAAAUAACAAUCCCAGACGCCGGAGGUUCUGUUCCCUUCCAUUCCUACAGGGCAACGGUCAUCGAUUUGUCGUCAGAUCAUUCCAACGCGCCGCCCUCACCCAACCAGGUGCGCCAGCGCGCCAUGCAACGCCUCCUUAGUUACAGACUUAUACAAUGAACAGAUCGCAACUCUCUCCUCACUAAUUGUUUUUUACCACGCGCAACAGGCUCACCGCAACUUGGUCACGGUGUCCUGCGGCUUGAGACCAAGUCUGCCGACGUAUGAAUUCCUUGCGCGCGAACAGCGAUUUCCUCUGCGAUCCGCCGUACAUCUGACCCGGUACUCCGAGGAGCCCACGGAAUUACUUCUUGAAAAGUUUUCGGAACCUUGGAACACGUCACAUCUAACAUCGAUGUCGUCGGCGUCAUCGGCAUCAACGGCAUCAGGGGGAGCAGCAGCAGUCGAUGAGGGCUCAGCUGAUGCCGUCGCAACCUUGACGGUGCUUGGUCUCGCGGAGAUGGCGGCCCUGCCACUGGUAAGGGGUAAGGAAGCCAGGUCACCUCUCACCGCCCUUGCCCAUUGCAGCGCGCUGCCCUUUCCUUUGCCCAGCACUGCCCACAACAACACCUUCGUUGUUGCUACGCUGGCGUCCUUCGCAAAGGAGCCGUCUGGGUGCUUCAUGAUGCUUCAGAUGCAAUCGUGGCUUUACCGUCCAUGUAUAAAU
rnacentral:lncRNA from 1 species